rnacentral:rRNA from 1 species
GACGAACGCUGGCGGCGUGCUUAACACAUGCAAGUCGAACGGAAAGGCCCUGCUUGCGGGGUACUCGCGUGGCGAACGGGUGAGUAAAACGUGGGUGAACUGCCCUGCACUUCGGGGUAAGAUUGGGAGACUGGGUCUAAUACAGGAUAGGAGACAUCUUUAGUGUUGUGGUUGGAAAGUAUUUUGGGUGUUGGGUGAGCUCGCGGCCUGUCAGCUUGUUGGUGGGGUGAUGGCCUACCAAGGGGGCGUCGGGUGGCUGGCCUGUGAGGGUGUACGGCCACAGUUGGGCUGAGAGAUGGCGCAGACACCCACGGGGGGCAGAAGUGGGGAAUAUUGCGCAAUGUGCGCAAGCCUGAGGCACAGAAGCGGCGUGUGGGAUGAAGGCGUUCGGGUGGUAAACUCCUUUCGCUCGGGACGAAGCGUUGUUGUGACGGUAACUAGUAAAGAAGCACCGGCUAACUACGUG